rnacentral:rRNA from 1 species
GCCUGCCCAGUGAUAUAUUUAACGGCCGCGGUACUCUAACCGUGCGAAGGUAGCACAAUAACUUGUUCUUUAAAUGUGGACUAGAAUCAAUGGCAUCACGAGGGUUACACUGUCUCCUUUCUCUAAUCAGUGAAACUGAUCUCCCCGUGAAGAAGCGGGGAUAAAUUUAUAAGACGAGAAGACCCCAUGGAGCUUCAAACUCAAUAAUACUUCUUUUAUUUAAUAACCAAAAAACUUACAAGAAGGAUAUCUAUUGGUUUUGGGCUGGGGUGACCGCGGAGUAAAACUUAACCUCCGUAAUGAAUAGAUUAAAACCUUAAUCCAAGAGCUACAUCUCUAAGAAUUAAUAAAUUAACAUAAACUGAUCCGAUAUAUUCGAUCAACGAACCAAGUUACCCUGGGGAUAACAGCGCCAUCCACUUCAAGAGCUCCUAUCGACAAGUGGGUUUACGACCUCGAUGUUGGAUCAGGGUAUCCUAGUGGUGCAGCCGCUACUAAAGGUUCGUUUGUUCAACGAUUAAAACCC